GGGGGCCGGGGGGAGAGGGGAUCCCUGGGGGAGGUGGGACAGAGGAAGGAGGGUGGAGAGGGCACCAGCACGGCAGACAGGCCCCGCCGGGGAAGGAAGAGAACCUGCGGGGGCAGAAAGGGCCAGAGCAGCAGCCCGAGUUCCACGGAGACGCAGCCGACCUGGAGCGGAAGGGCCAGCCGGGCUGCUCACAGCCAGGCCUCCUGUCCCCAGCGGGUUUGUAUCCUACUUUGCAAAACGGAAUCCAGAGCGGGAAUGGAGGGGAGGUUCAUUCCGGGCCGAUCAGCUCACCUCCGAGUGCGACCGUCCUGCCUGCGGGGCGUCCCACACCCUCCCCGCGGUCGACAGAACGGGAAACCCAGCCCCGACGGGCCUCGCCGGCCGCUCCCCUGCAGCUCCGAACCCGGCUCCUCCCCAGGACGCGCCGCGGCGACAGCGCCUGAACCGAGGGCAUCCUCCCUCUGCUUUCUUAAGCCCUCGGUUCCGAUCGCCCCCGGCCGGGGCGGCUGGUGGCGGGGGCGCCGGGCGGAGGCCGCCUGGACCCGGCUGGGAACGCACCGUCCGGCCUGAGCCCGCGCCCUCUCUUGCUCCUGGUGCCCGGAUCCAAGAUUGGUGACAUCUGUCCUGCUUCAAAACAGAAAGUCUUGGGGUUAAACUACCCCGUCUUCGCGCCCGCAGCCACGUCUCCGGGGCCGCGCAGGCACUUUUCUCGUUGGAGAAGCGGGUCUCUGUGCCGCCUUCCUUCACGAAAACUUCCAAGCGCGGACUUCUCGUUUUGAAACGCUUCAGACCCUGUGAGCUCAGGGGUCACGUCGCCUUUCGAGGCAGCGCCUUAAGACACACCGUUCUCUCUCCCCUUCAGAUCCCCCUCCUCGGGUAAUUCAAAGAUUUGUUCCUUUGGAAUCGGUGACUUUAUUUUUGUUUUGUAGCUAUUUUUUUGAAUGUGUAGUUUUCUUUAGAAGUGUGAGUUGUAAAAGGCAGAUCCGUAGGCGGGUAAUAGCUACCGUGACCCGACCCAGCUGGGACCCGGUUCUUGGUGGCCGGGGGACCAGGGCAACCCUGCGGGACGUGGCGCAGACCCAGGCGCUCCAGGCCCUUGGGCCGCCCCGCCCCCACUUCACGCCCACCCUCAGCCGGCGGCGGCUCAGCAGCGACCUUGGGUCCGAGUCCUGCGAACCCGGCGCCAGAGGCCACACCCGGGCCGGGCCUGGCAGCCGCCAGAGCUCAACUCCGUGGGGUCCGCGGCGUGCGCCGAGGGCGAGGCCGGGUGUGGGAGGCCUGGGGACCCCCGCGGAGCCCUCGAGAGCGUGCCCUGCGCUAAGGGCGCUGCGCGCUGGGGACAAGCGCGCCAGGCUGGGAGGUGAGUGUGACCCCCGCCCGGGUGCUCAUCCUGGACCCCACUCCGGCGCAGGGCCGCUCCGGCCUUCACGACGGGGCGCGUGCUGGCCCCCCAUCCUGGCAGGUGUCGGGUCGCCCCGUCACCGUCCCCCAAAGCCGCAGGACUGGAAGGAGAGGUCCCAGGGGGAGCCGGUCCCUCCAGCCGGACACGAGGCGCCGGGAAACGGCUGCGCGUUCUCUUUCUUUUUUCUUUUCCUUCCUUCUUUGCUCUCCUUUCUCUCUUCCUUCCAUUUGCUCUCUUUCUUUCUUCUUCCAUCUCUCACUCGGCCUCCUCCCCUGCUGCUCCUUCCUCUGUUGCUCUGCGCUGUCCUCUCCCCUUCCCCGCUGCCCCCCUCCCUUCCCGGCCUCCUUCAGUCAGAGGACAGAUCGGACCUCCCGAUAACGGGGGAGGGGGCUCGCGCUCCCCGGGGCCCCCAGGUGCCAGGCGCAGAGCCCUUGGAGGUUCUGUGGCCUGUGCCGUGGGCCGGGGUCUGCUCCCAGCCCUGCCCCCCAGCUGGGCGCGUUGGAGUAACACCUCCUCCAGGAUGUCUUCCAACAGCAGGUAGGAGACCAGCUGGCACAGCCUAGUUCAAGCGGGACUUGUACUUGUGCCUGCCCUCCCUGACACACGUCCCUUCUCCUCCUGAGGACUUGGGGGAGAGGGGGACCCACAGGGGACAGAGAGAGGCCACAGCUGCCCCACUUCUUGGAUGCCAGGCCAAGACCAGCCUCUGGUCCCCAGGCUGUAGGCCAGCCCGCCUCCUCCUGGUGUCUGAGCAGAGGAUGGCCCAGAGCCUGGUGCGCGUUCCCCUGGCACUGGGCUUUCCUGCCCCCCAUCCCACUGUGCUCCUGCACAGUCUCGUACCUGCCCCUCCAUGCUGGGACGCCUCAGGGGCCGUGAUGGGAAAUACCAAGUGCCUUGCAGAGCCAUGGGGGGCCCUGUGACCCCUGACUGCUGCCCUUGAGCAAGCCCAUUCCCUGCCCAAGGCUCAGUUUCCCCAAAUGAAAUAAUAGGGCUUGGACUGGAUGCAUCCUUCUCCUGCCAAUUUCAACAGCCUAGAUUAGGGGUCACAAAACUCUUCCUGUAAAAGGCUGGAGAAGUAGCCAUUUGAGGCGGCGGGGGUCACACAGGUCUGUUGCCGCGACUCCACUCUGCUGCUCAGGGUGAAGGCGGCCGCGGAUAACACCCAUGACGAGCGUGGCUGUGUUCCCCUCAGACUUCAUGGAUGCACACGAAACCCUGAAUUUCAUGUAAUUUUCACAUCACAUAAUAUUCUCGUUUUUAUUUGUUUCACCCACUUGAAAAUGUAAAAUCAUCCUCGGUUUAGGGGCUGUACAAAGACAGUCAGGGGCGGUGGUCUGCCGAGAGCCAGCCUAGGCUCAGUUCCCCGCACCAAUAUAUUCAUGUCCAUGUCAGAAGUGUUUCCUUAUCUAAAAAAUUUUUUUUAAAUUUUUUUCCCCACAAAAGCACCCAUUAGGUUUACAGUUUUGGGGCCUUAGAAACAUAACCCAUCUAUUCCCAUGUCUGAAUUCUCAAGAGUUUAAAAUCUUCCUGAUACUGGUAUUACACCUGGACACUGGACUGGAUGCCUUACACUCGUCAUCUCAUUUAAUCCCACGCUAGUCUGUGGAGUAGGGAUUGCUCACCUGCCUUUCUAGCUCCUUGCACACCCCUGAUGAUGGGGCGCUCACUCCCUUCAGUGGCAGUCCCAACCGACUCUGAGGGCUGACUCCUCUGGAGAACCCUGGCUGCUGAGAGCUGUGACCUGUGCGAAGGCCGCCGUGGGUGCGAGUGCUGCUCAGGGCCCAUCCUUUCUCAUCUUCCCUCAAUUCCAUCUAAAUCCUCUCCAGCUGUUGAAAUGCGGGCGGACAAGGGGGCCAGGGCCUUGACUUUCCCAAGCCCUGAGCCUUUGCAGGCCUUUGCAGCUGCCAUGUGACGAAUCUUGCAAGGAACAUGGGAAGGGAAAGACUAUGACAGAAAAAUAACUCUUAUAAACGUGUUCCUCGCUGUAAGUGUUUCCAGGAAAUCUAGCUCUCGCGGAGGCCGCGCGUGUGCGCGCACGCACACACACACACACACACACACACUCACUCACCCCCCACACACACAGCGCCUGCGUCUCCAAUGGCUCUUGCUCCCUCUGCUGGUCAGAUCGAGUCCUAACCAGGCUCGCUGGGACGGUCUUUCCUCUUGAAAAGGAAAAACAGCCCAGAACUUUCUCUCCCUUUUAUGUACCAGACACUUGCUGGAUGCUGAAGAGAUAAAGAAAAAAGCAUUUUAUCUGUCCUCAAGGAGUGCGACUUAGCUGUGGGGAGAGACAGACAGACAUGCUCACAACUGAUAGCAAGGGUGGGGGUGGAGAUGGACUUCCCAGAGCAGGUGACCUGCCAACCCAGCCUCAAGGGAGGAGGAGCUUCCAGAAACAGACGAGGUGUGCUCACAGCUUCUGGAGGGUGUUACUGUUCCAAUCAGUGGGCUGGCAGCACCCAAAAGGUUUUGCAUUCGAUAGUUCCGACAACAACUUGUCCUCAGCCAGGGAGUUACAAUCAUAGAUCCUCCUGGUGCCUAGGGACAGCUAUUGGAGACUCUGGGAAAAGUCUGGAGACCUAUGUUGUACCUACAUAACCAGAACUACCAUUAACAGACGUUGUAACUCCUGGGGGUGUCAUUGACUGUGCUGUGAAUGGCACUUCCUGGUUGUGCAGUGCACAACCCACACAACUGUGUCCAGCAGUCCUGCCAAUUAUUUGUUUCCUUGUAUUCUCAUAGAAUCAAAUGAGGUUGAAGAGGCUGUCAGCAUUAUGUUCUAUCACGUUCUGUAUGCCCCUUUCCAGACAAUAAGCUACAUGUAGAAACGGGCAGAAAACCUAUCCUAUCUGCACACUUCAUGUUAAAAGUCUACCUUCCUGAAAGUCUACUGCCUUGCUGUUUCAUGUGUUUAUUACAGAAUAGAGCAAAAUCUGUCUCUGGAAGUUUGAGUGAGGGCAGUGUGACAGGCUGGCUUCUAAGAUCGCCCCCUGGUGUACACGCCCUGUGUAAGGCCUCCCCUCCAACGUGGGUGGACCUGUGGUGUGCUAGGCCAUCACUGCCUGAUCCUGUUACCUUAUAUGGCAAAAGGGAUCCUGCUUGUGUAAUUAAGGUCCCUAGCUCUUUGGAGUGGAAUUGACCAAAAGGGAGCUUAUCCCAGAGCUGGCCUAACUAGACCAGCCCUUUCAGUGGGACUGGGGUUCUCCUGCAGGCCUCAAAGUGGCUGCCACGUUGUGAGGGGACCUACGGAGGGGCCACCGGGCCAGGACCCCAGGGCGCCGUCAGGAGCUGAGAGCAAGAAAAUAGGUUCUGUGGGCAGCCUGAGCGAGCUUCAAGGUGGGCCCGCCCUCGCCCGGGCCUCCUGAUGAGACUGCAUGCAGCCGGCCACCCCCCAGCUGCCACGUUGUGAGCACCCAGCUAAGAAAGGAGGGUGACCUGCUGAGGCCCACCAGCCUAUGCAGAGCCCUCGGUCGCUGGCCCUCGAGUGUGCUAGGCCAGGGUGUGGUGGGGCAGCACUGACGUCUGGAGUCCAGGGAGGGUUCACACGGAGAGUCCUCUGAGACCCCCCCAGCAGACCCGGCUGGGCCUUCGAGACCCGCCGAUGGCCCCUCCUUCAGGGACUUUCUGAGCCACGUCCCAGUGGGGCUGCUCCCAGCUGAGACCUGCAGCCCCCGCUUCCCUCUGCCACUUGCUCUCUUGUCCGCUGACAGGACGCCUAGCUCCUAGCAGGAGGAAGUGAGGGCCCAGGCGCUCCUGGCAGGGAGCCUGGCCCCCUGAGUGGGUGUGUGCCACUUAAGUGAACGAGUGAAGCAUCGCGAGGGUGACCGGCUGUGGCUGCGCGGCUCUCUCCAUGUCGCCGCAUGUCGCUCGGAGCCUCCGGGGCGGGGCGCACGGGCCAGCCUCUGGCAGAGGUCCGUGCCCAUGCCCCCAGCUGACCUCGGCCGCGGGGCAGGUGCUCUGCGCAAGGUGCCCCGCGUCUCGUCCGCAGCCAGGCCGGCCACCGAGCGGACCUCCGGGGCGGCAGCGGGAUGGCCGCGGGCGGGCGAGCGGGAUCGACGGGUGGGCGCGGUGGGCCGCCCUCGAGGGCUGUGCGCCCCGCGGGGAGCCCGGGGCCGCGGCGCGGGGAGGGGCCGUGGCGGCUCCUCCGGGAAGUCCGCGGUUCGCGCACCGAGGCCGGUGAGCUGGGAGACAGGCCGAGGCUCCUCUGCGCGCGGCCAGGCGGACAACGCGCCAGCAGAGCGGGUCCUGCGGGGCGUCCCCCAGGCCUCUGUCGCCGGGGCGGGGCGUGUCCCGCCAUCUCCAGCAACUGCUGCGGUCGCGGGGCUGCAAGGGCCUCGGACGCCACCUCUGUCCCGGCGCCAGGGACCCCGCAGCCCUCGCCGGUGUCCAGCGCAGCCCCCUCCGUGGAGCCCUGCUCUCCGGCCCCUCCUGCGCCGCCCCGAGGCCGAAGGCGCCGGGGCCUCCCCGGGCUGCGCCCCGCCGGCGGGCGCCCUCUCCUGGGCCUCCGUCUCCGGGCCGGGCCUCCUGCGAACGCCUUGGAGGCUGGCGGGCGGCACCCCUGUCACUCGCGGGGCGGCUCCGUGGUGUGGACGCAGCCGCUUCGCCCCUGGGCCUCCGUCCCGGCCUUCCUCCGAGGGUGGGGGCCGUGGGUGCCGGGUCCACGCGGUUCCCGCCGCCCCGCAGGGCUGGCCCGUGUCGAGGAUGCCUCUCCUCCACGCGGGCUCCCCUCUCCCUGCACCUCGUGCGCUCUCCAUCCCGUCUGGCCCGCAUGGACCUCCCCACCUCCUCACCCGCUCCCUCCCGCGUCCUCUGUCUCUUUCCAGACCCCACUCUCCAGCCUCAUCACUGUGGGGCCAUUGGUACAGCCCCCCCCCCCCACUUUCCCGAUGGAGAAACUGAGGCCCAGACAGGGGGCCCUCACUCCAAGCUACACAGGUGGUGGCAGAGUUGGAAGGACGUGUCCAUCGAGACAGGCGGCUGUGAAGUCGAGUUUGUCCCCCUCCUGCUGCCAGUCCCUCAGCAGAGCAUCUCCUGGGGGACCGCCGGCCACGGGGCAGCGGAAGAGGGAUGCCGGAGAGUGCCCCAUUGGUCACGUCCACUGGCAACUCGGCUGGAGGCAGGACAGUCCUGCCACACGCCCAGAAGGGUUGAGGCCAGCCCUGAGGACAGCACAGCUCGGAGCCCGGGGUCCCCCCCUCCAGGCCGCCGGCAGUGCCCAGGGCCUGGCCCUCCCUGUGAGGUGCGGGCGCCUCCCAGUCUGACAUUCUGUGACAAAACCAAUUCCUGCGUGUGUCCUGCGGUCACAGCUCCCUGUCAGCGCCGGCUCCGGCCAUCGCGGCCACGGUGGCCCAGCUCUCCCAUCUGUCCAGCGGGGACGGCGGCGGCCUCCCGCUCGGGGUCCCGAGAGAGGACGGAGGGGACUGAGCUCGCGGCGCUGAGCAGGACGCGGGCUGAGCACCAGCCGCACGAUCGGAGCCGCCGGGCGUUGGGAAGCCCCUGCCGGUGGACGCCGUGAGCACCUGCUGCCACCCGCAUGAGCCCUAAGGGUUUAGGAAGGAUUGUCCCCGUUUUUCUGGCUGGAAACUGAGAUUUGGAGGCGGCACAGACAUUGCCCGAGGAAGCCAGCAAGGACCCAGCCGAGAUUCGAACCCUGCGCCAGAAGGUCUGCCGGUGGCCGCCCGGCGGGGAACUUGGGGGCCAGGGCAGAGAUGAAACCGUCUAUACCAACACCCUGAGUGAGGGAUGGAGCGUGAGGCCGGGGCGGAGGCGGGGAGGAGCCCCGGGAGCCUCGCCCUGGUUUCCGAGGCCGCGUGGGCGAAGGCGGAGGCGGUUCCAGGCGUCCUGGGGGCCCGGCCUCCCCUCCACCGGCGCGCGGCUUGCGGGGGCGGCAGGCGGGAGGCAGAGCGGCGACAGGGGCCGAGGCUGCGGGUCGCCCUCCUAGCCCCCGGGGAGUCACCGCCCCAUCCCGUCGCGUCCCGCGACCCCAGCCCCCAGCUGUCUUGCGCAGGCGCAGUCUUGGGUGCCAGAUCUUGGGGUGAAGCCCGGCGCCUUCCCAGCAUCGGGGCGGGGGCCGAGGAGAUGCCCCGACUGGACCGAGGACUCGGGUGGACCCCCUCCCUCGGGCCUCAGCUUCUCCCCCGAGACGACGCCUGCGCAGAGGGUAUGAUGAACCAGGGUGGCCCCGGGACAGCCACGUCGGCGCGUGGAGGUUCCGAGGAGAGGAGGAGGGGGCUGUGGAGGGUGCCCCCCGCCCCGGCUCAGCCCAGCCUGGCGCUGACCCGCCGAGCCCACGCUGAGUGCCGGUGUGCACGGGAUGACCACGCGGCCGCCCCCCUCUGCCGCCUUCUCCUGGAGUGACGACUUAGCUCCCGCCGGUCACCUUCUCCAGCCCGCCGUCCGGUGGGACAGAGCUUUAGGGAGGGGGGUGUUUAUCUGUGUGCUAUGUGUUUGUUUAUUUUCUCUCUGCCACCAGGUCUUUAAGAUCCUUGAACAAGACUCACCAAGCCCCACCUCCACCCUAGCUGAGAACGUUAUGUUUUCUAGGGAGAUAGGGCAAAGUUCUGAUACUUAAGAAGGCUGAAGAGGAGGGUUCUAGAACAGGGCCAUCACUGCCUGUGUGUGUUUCCUGUGGCUGCCAUGAGACAGCACCACAGACGGGAUGGCUCAGAACAGAAACCUGUGCUGGAUAUUUGACCUGAGUUGGAUGUCGAGCUUUGAAAUGAGAGGUCCCAGAACAGGGCCGCUGCUUACAGUUGUGCAGGUUGUUCACUGUACGAGGGUGCCUGGCUCACAGUUCUGGAGGCUGGAAGUCCAAAAUCCAGGUGUGGGCAGGGCCGGGCUCCUUCUGAAGGCCCCGGGGAGGGUCCUUCCUCUUCUCCUCCACUUCUGGUGGCUGCUGGCAGUCCUUGGCUCGUGGCUGCAUCUCUCCCAUCUCUGUCUCUGUGGUCACAUGGCGGUCUUCCCCGAGUGUCUGUGUCUCCAAGUCUCCCUCCUUACAAGGCCUCCGGUCAUCGGAUCGGGGCUCACCCUAGUCCAGCCUGACCUCGACUUCACUGGUUACAUCUGCAAAGGCCCUAUUUCCAAAUAAAGUGACAUUCGCAGGUUCCAGAAAGUUGGGACUUUAGCAUAUCUCUUUGGGGGACACAAUUCACCCCACAACAUUGCCCACGUAGCAUUUUUGUACAAACGACAUAAAGACACCCCCUCAUGCAGGUAGGCACUGCUGGAGCAGCCAAGGACAGGCUGGGUUUGAGCCCCUCGCUCGCCCCUGAGCCAGGCACCCUUGUGCAGUGAACAACCUGCACAACUCUAAGCAGCGGCCCUGUUCUGGGACCUGUCAUUUAAAAACUUAACAUCCAACCCAGAUAAAAGGCCUAGACUGGAAUUUCAACUUCAACCUGGGCCGAAGGCGCUAUGAAGCCCAGGGAGGGGCCGAGGCAGGGUCUGCAGCAAGGCCAUAACGGGUACAUUUUCUGCACAGGAUUUAAGAGCAGUAACAAGCUGACUAAAAGUUAGUCUGCUUUUUAUUAUCACCACGCAACCACUAUUCCAAACAAUGUCAGUCGUCAAACACUCCUCCUGCCCACACCUCCUGUUGGUCUAAGUCCUAAACAGCUCCUGCUGUUAUCACUGAGUUUCUAUAACACACGUGGGAGCCCAGAUUAGCACACGCACUCUUCCCUUCUCGAGGACACGGUGGUCGGCGUGGAAGUCAUUUGGAGAGCGGGGGGCAUAUGCACCUGGGCCCGACAGACACACUUAUCCUGAAUUUGUGAGGUUUCGGGACCUCGGUUGGCGGCACGGCCCCUGUGGCGUCACACACCCCUGAGACCAACGGGAGAGUCAGUGUCCAUUCUGAAAGCACAGCAAGGGCGAAGAGAAGGACAGACCAGACGGGAGCUCCUUCAGACCUGCGUUCUCGCGGCCACUGGGAGUUUAGUGGGGUUUAAACCUCGAGACAGUGAACAGAGAGCCGUGUGAAGAGUGACAGAUGUGCGUCCCGGAUGCAGUGAUGGUCACCACACGUGUGAUAAAAUGGUGAGGAGCAGCCUGGGCGCACCAGCCUCAGCCUCCUGCCUCUGAUCUGGACUCACUGUAGUCAGUUAACCAGAGAGGUCACGACGGGGGCGUGGGGGACCGUGCACGGGGUCUCUCUCCGGCUUUGCGCCUUCCUUUGAAUCUAUAACACAGUUCAAAAUAAAAAGUUAGGAAGAUAACAGUGGACAAGAGUCAUCCCAGAAACCAAACACACAAAACAAUGACACCGUGCACAUUGCGAGGUGUGAUAGUUCUGUGUGAGCACCAAGUUAUUUUCUAUGUGAAAUGUUUCACUGAAUGUGAAUAGCUUUGAAAUAUAAAUUUAAUAUUCUUUUGAAAUUAUGCUGCUUAUUUAAUUUUUAUUCAGUUAUUGUUAAACCAUAGCAGACUAAUAGGUAGGCUGAAGAUUUUCCCCCUUCAAACAAUACACUAAUGUAAACUGUAAGUGUUAAUCCCUUAGUUUCUCCUAUUUUGUGCCACAAUAAUUUUCUUAGUGGCGUGAAGUUCAAUAAAACUUUGCGGCCUGAGUUGCCUUUUGCCGUGGCGGUGAUUAUGAUUGACGUCAUUUUGGAUUGUGACUGUCAGAUGCGCGGCCCUCCCCAG
ensembl:lncRNA